CGAAUCAUCUGGAAAGAUGAAUCAAAGAAGGUAAUAAUCCUGUAGUCGAAAAUGUUGUCUCUCUUGAGUGGAUCCUGAGUACGACGGAGCACGUGAAAUUCCGUCGGAAUCUGGGAGGACCAUCUCCUAAGGCUAAAUACUCUCUAGUGACCGAUAGUGAACCAGUACCGUGAGGGAAAGGUGAAAAGCACCCCGGAAGGGGAGUGAAAUAGAACCUGAAACCGUGUGCUUACAAGUAGUCAGAGCCCGUUAAUGGGUGAUGGCGUGCCUUUUGUAGAAUGAACCGGCGAGUUACGAUUUGAUGCAAGGUUAAGCAGUAAAUGUGGAGCCGUAGCGAAAGCGAGUCUGAAUAGGGCGUUUAGUAUUUGGUCGUAGACCCGAAACCAGGUGAUCUACCCUUGGUCAGGUUGAAGUUCAGGUAACACUGAAUGGAGGACCGAACCGACUUACGUUGAAAAGUGAGCGGAUGAACUGAGGGUAGCGGAGAAAUUCCAAUCGAACCUGGAGAU
rnacentral:rRNA from 1 species